GAUGAACGCUGGCGGCGUGCCUAAUACAUGCAAGUCGAGCGAACAGAUGAGGAGCUUGCUCCUCUGACGUUAGCGGCGGACGGGUGAGUAACACGUGGAUAACCUACCUAUAAGACUGGGAUAACUUCGGGAAACCGGAGCUAAUACCGGAUAAUAUAUUGAACCGCAUGGUUCAAUAGUGAAAGACGGUUUUGCUGUCACUUAUAGAUGGAUCCGCGCCGCAUUAGCUAGUUGGUAAGGUAACGGCUUACCAAGGCAACGAUGCGUAGCCGACCUGAGAGGGUGAUCGGCCACACUGGAACUGAGACACGGUCCAGACUCCUACGGGAGGCAGCAGUAGGGAAUCUUCCGCAAUGGGCGAAAGCCUGACGGAGCAACGCCGCGUGAGUGAUGAAGGUCUUCGGAUCGUAAAACUCUGUUAUUAGAGAAGAACAAAUGUGUAAGUAACUAUGCACGUCUUGACGGUACCUAAUCAGAAAGCCACGGCUAACUACGU
rnacentral:rRNA from 1 species